ACUUGAAUAUAAUCAUCCAAUGGCAUCGUUGUAAACACUUCUCGCCAUGACCGCAUUACCCAACCCCGUCGACCCUAUGACAUGCUCCGUCUACACUAGUAUAAGGUCCAUGACGUUAUCAAAGAAUAAGCAGCUACUGAUACCUACAACCUAUACCAAGUUCAAAGAUCAUUAUAACCAUAAACCACUGAUAAAUUUGUUUGAUGAACCACGUUUUCAUAAAAACUGAUAUCAACAUAUCAA